rnacentral:lncRNA from 1 species
UUAUCUAAGAAGGUAAAAGCGAUAUCUCGGCCGCUCGAUGAUUUGAUUUGACUUAUGUGCCGGGCCCGGUCAGAACUGAAUUGAUGUGUUCGAUUAAGUUCUAUGUCAAAUAAAUCAGAGAUCGAGAAACCUAAAUGCUUGACUAACCAUUCCAUAGGAUUGUCAGCAUGAUAUCUAACAGAGGACUGUACGUUCCCUUAUCUAAAGGACAAGAUUGAUUAGAUCAGAGUUGACAGCGUCUUUGAGAGCUACGAUUGCAAACCGAAUUGUACUUGUAUAGUUACUAGACUUAUCCAAGUGGGAGACUGUUGGAAUAGUGUCUAAGGCUGUAACUAUAUUAGGCAAGUAUUUGAUCCGGUUGUGCAUGGUCCUUUUGGGUUGCCUUCACCAUAGCAACUUGAUAGGAUGAUUUAUUAAGAGAGAGUAAAUAUUAUUAGUAUAUUAUGAGAAUAAUAUAAAGAAUAAUAUAUUGUUAUUUGAUUAAUAUAAGUCAUAGAAUUAAUUGGAAUUAAUUUGGUGACUUAAAGAGAUUAAUUAAAUAAGAGGGUAUAAACUGUCAAUUGUUUGAUAGUUAAACUUUAGACUGUAAAUCCAUAUAGAUAUGGAUUAGACGGAUUCUAGAAGCUAAAGGAUAGCUCAAAUCGUCCAUUGCUUAUCUAAGGAAUGGAUUUGGAUAGCCUUAAGAGAAGAUUAUCCACUUAGGGUUUAGGUUGUUACCCUUAAGGAGUCUACAAGUAUAAAUAGACCCUAUGGCAAAGGGAAAUCGACACUUCAUCCAAUGUAAGAGAACCCUGACCGAUUUCCUCCCCGCUCCUCUCUCCCAAAUCAUCCUCCUUGCUAUUUGGUGUUUGUAAGCCAUUAGAGGAGUGACAAUUGUGACUCUAGAAGCUCCAAGACAACAAGAUCAACAAGGAAUUCAAAGGUAUGAUUCUAGAUCUGUUUUAACAUUGUUCUUAUUCCUAAAUAGUCAUUAGAAGUCUUGGAUUCAAAGCAUGUUUAAUUAGAAAGCCUAGAUCCAAGCAUUAGGGUUUUGCAUGCGCACAUAGGAAAGUUCUUAUGGCUAAAACCCAUCAAUAAGAAUAAUAUAUUAAAGGGUAAAUCAUAGAUGUUUAAUUAAUAUUGGUCAAUAAUUAAUUAGAUUAAUUUUGNGUGAUCAAGUGUAAUUAAUUAAACUAGAGGGGCUGAAUUGUAAUUAUGUGAUAGUUACAAAGUAGGGUAAGGAUUAUCCUAAAUAUGGGUGGACGAAAUCUAAAGGAUAUGGAUCCUUGAAAUCGUCCAAAGAUGUGGGCUUUCAAGGCUUAUCUUAUUGUUACUUGGUGGGCAAGCAACUAGAUAAGGAUAAGGACUGAAACCCUAAUCUCAACCUUAUAUAAAGACCCCUAAGCCUCAUGAGUUCGUACACUUGAUUCUAAGAGAUCAUAGGGUUGAUUUCUACCUCCCUAUUCUCUCUCUAUAUCUUCUCUAAUUGCUUGUGGUGUUUGUGAGCCAUUAGAGGCACUACACUUGUGGUGCUUGCUUUCAAGACUUAGGGUUUGAAUAUCUAAGUUGUUAUUACAAUAUAACAACAAAAGGUAUGUAAUCUAAUCUUCAUGGUGAAUUUCAAUAAUAGUAAUCAUCAUUAGGGUUUUAUUAUGUGUUCAUAAUGUUGUGUAUCUAAUAGUGAAAACAUAGAUCCAAUUCUAGGGUUGCAUGCACACAUAGGAUUGUUUGUAUAAAUCCCAUCAGGAACAUUAUGCAAAACUUGACAAGACAAAUCAAGUUGUUGAGGCUUCAGCUUCGGUAUGCAAGGAAAUGACCGAAAAAUUCGAUAAACUAAUUACCGAUGCUCAAUCCUUUACGAGCACUUUUCAUAACUCAUUCGAAUCCAAUACUGCGAAGGCGAAUGAAGUAAUUUCCAGACUUGGAUCAACUCUUCGCACAGAGAAGGAUGCACUAGAAAAGGUUCGCACUGGCAUCCAAUCUGACAACUCAGAGCUCAACUCCUCAAUCUCUUCCAAAAUAGACAAGCUUCAUGAAGAUUUUGCAAUGGGGAACAAGAUAAUGGAUCAGCUCACAGUCAAGAUAGAAAAAGUGAAGGUUCUAACUGUCAAGCUAGAACAAGCUAAGAGCAGAUCAAUACGCUUUUAUCCAAAAAGGCAGUGAUGAAGAUGUUGGAUUAGGUGUCUAAGCCCAUAACAAUAAUUGGUAUGUACUUGACCCGAGAGUAGCAUGGUCUAUUUGGGUUCAUUCGCCAGAACAAUCUGAUAGGAUGGAUAUUUGAGAAAGAGGUUAUUUGUGAUUUAUUAAAAUAUUAUAAGUAUAGUAUAUUAAUUGAGAAAUCAUAUUAUUUAAUUAGUAUUUAUCAAGAAUUAAUUUGGAAUUAAUUUAGUGAUGAAAAGAGACUAAUUAAAUCAAUGGGGACUGAUUAUGUAAAUCAGUGAUACAUAUGGUUUGGGCUAUUGAUCCAUGAUGGGCUAAGUUUAUGUGAGAGUCCAUGAAGAGUUAGUCCACAUGAGUUAUGGAUCAUAAGCCUAAGUGUAAGAAUUAGGGUUACAUAUGACUCUUGGAAUUCUAACACUAUAUAUGUAACCCCUUAGACCCAAAAAUCGGAGGCACAAUUGAUAUAGCAAGAGUAAGCCGAUUUUACGGUGUUCCUAACCUGUAUCUCAAGUCAUCAAAUUUUUGGUGGUGCUUUGUUAAGCAUUUAAGGCAUCAUAUUUGAGGUGAUAAGCUCUUAAAGGCUAAAUUCUACAUGCUACAACUAAGAUGUAUUCUUCUAACCAUUUUUAAUGUUUCAAGUAUCCAAGUUGUAUGCUAGUUAUAGGUUUCAUGCUUUGGAUAAUUUUUGUUGCAUGUAUAACUAGAGAAAACUUAUAUCCAAAGCAUUAGGGUUGUAUGUGCACCAUAGGAGUGUUAUAUACGUAAAACCCAACAUAAGAGUUGUGUUGCAGAUGUGAACGCCUUGCUCUCAGACAUAAUUGAGACUCAUGAUUCUUUAAUCACGAUCACUGUCAAAAAGCAUCUGGUUGAAAAACUUCGACCUGUGUUUGGGAUGCUCAAUAGGAUUGAAGGUGUUCAAGAUUCAAUCUCAAUUCCAAAACAAGGGGAGAGCAUGUGAGGCAAUCUAAGAAUGAAACCUCGAAACCAACUGUAAAGCCACCUAUGAAGCCAAAGACAAAAAACAAACCGAAGGAUAAUGCAGCUUCGCGUUCGAAAGGCAAAAAAAAGAUCUAUGAUGAAAGGAUCAUUGAUGAUAGUGCAGAAGAAGAAUCCGAUGAGCAUGAGUUAAAAAAAAUGAAGGCUCGUGUAGCUCAAAUCGAUGAACAUUAUCGGAUUGUGAGAGAAGCAGAAGAGAAAGAGAAAGCUCAAGUCACACUGGAAAGCCGAAAGCUAUUAUUUCCAUGUGAACUUUGGAGCGAAUUAUGAGAGAGGCUAUAGACAUCCCAAGCCAAUAUUGGUCAGAGCCUGUUGCUUCUUUCGAUUUGCAAAACACACAAGAUUCGCACCUGGAUCUUCCAAUAACACUGAAAGCCUUCAAGUUUCGUAGCUUCAUCAAUGUUGCGAACAUUCCUCUGACAGACAGCGGUGCUGACCAUUUGCUCUUAUCCUUCUACUUAAAGCACAUGAAGCCUCAGUAUGAAACCUGGAGUGCGAAAAAGAUAACUGUUGUGAAGGUUUUAGGUGCGAUUGAAACCAAUAGCUUCCCAAACGCUUGUUUUAAGGUUGCUAGAGAUUCUACGAGUCAGGUAUGCGAAUUUACACUUGCUUAUCUACCUUUCCUGAACCCGUACGAUUGGAUUUUGAUAUUCAACAUGUAGCUCAAGGAUGAACACAAGUAUGAACCCGUUGUGGCUCAUCUCAAACGAAUGUUAAUCUCAUACAUUCAAGAGGUUGGCAAAAUGGAUGUUGAAAUUGCAACCGUUUUGCGAAAGAGGCCGUCUGUGCUCCCCAAGGAAGCUCUAAAAGAUUUUGACAAAAUGAAGCUGGGGAAAAUACGAAAGGAUGGCUGGUGCAUGGCUUUUCAAAUGAAAGAGCGAACAGGUGCAUAUUUCCACAAAGUUUGCUUCUAUCUUGCAGAUAAGCAUCUUCACCACAUAUUGCAUGCAAUAUAUCCUGGAGUUUAUGGAUAAAUUCAAAGGGAAUCGUAAAGGGGAUAAGAAGUGUUUCUCUGAUAUGAUCCUUUGGUAUAUUCAGGUUCGCAAGGCCUUGUUGAGCAUCAUUCCGAAGCUCUUUGAAGUUCAGAAGCGAACUCCACAGUGAAGGUCUCCUACCUCAAUUGACGCAAAGGGGGAGAUUGCUGGAUCUUAUAUGUUGUGUCUUUGAGUUUAUAUUGCUUAGUCCAUUUGUAUACCGGGUUGGGCCUUUCCACCCGUUAAUUAUUAUUAUUAGGGUUUUAUUAUUUAAUGUGCAUGCAUGCAUCGUAUCUUGUAAUCGUCUAAGUUUGUAAACCCUACACAACCUUUACAGUAGAAGUUCUUUAUUAAUCUCUUCUAAGGAUGUGAUUAUUAAUCAUUUGGCAUAUUUGAUCAUCAUUGUGUGUUCUUGAUUCAUUUACCUAUUUAAAUCUAAUCAAUCAUACAAAUUUUAUUCUUAACAUUACUAUUUGUGCUUCAAACCCAUUCCAGCCGAUAAUUAUUUGCACACCACAGGUUCUGUCCACCUGCCACCUUAAAUUACUUUUGUCGGUUAUUCAUUAAUUCCACAUAGCUUUUUUCAGAUCUCCACCAUUCUGAUAUAUUUGGCUCGUACCCAUACCCAUCAUCCUGAGACCUUCACCUGCCCUUCCUCGGUUUAGUGACUGUCCAACCCCAUCAUCAAAUUAUCAUUGGUUGGAAGUAAUGUCAUUAUUUCCGAGAUGAACUUUCCAACCCAUUACUGGAUUCUGAGAUUACCUUUUCAGACCCUUUUUUUGUGAAUAAUAUUCAACUUGGAUCCACCUCUACCAAUUUCCAUCUUAGAUUAAUUCACAAUUCGAAUCAGUGUUCUAAAAGGCGCGCCAUGGCGUGAGGCGUGGCUCCGCCGUUACGAAAAUCCUCAGCAACUUUGCUGUUAGGUGUGGCGCGUGGCAAGGCGUGAUAUGGCGCUCCAUGGCGUGUUAUGUCGCAUGUCUUUUCAUUUGAGACACGCUUUUUUGCUCGUUGUUAUGUCUUUUCUAAUCGGAGAUAUAGUUAUUGUGGUUUUCGUUAAAUUUUUGUUACUAGAAAUUGAUCUAACACUUAUAAAAAUUAGUUAUAUUUAAUAUAAAUUUAUAUUUAUGUGGUAAUAUAAAUCUUUAAAUUAAUACAAAAUCUCCGCUUUACAUCACGCCUUGAAAAACACCAUGGCUCGCCAUGGCUCGUUAAACUUGAGGCUUGACCUUGCCGCCAUGCCACGCCUCACGCCGUUUAGAACCUUGAUCCGAAUAACUUGUUUUAAACCCAUAUUUUGUUUACCAAAUUCAUUUCUUUUAUUUCUUUUAUGUUUAAACCAAUUAACUUCAGUUAAAACUCAUUUUUUUUAUUAAAACCAAAUUUUUUUAUUAGAUUCAGUUAUUUUUUUAAACCAAAUAUUUUUUAAUACCAAUUUUAGCCCCAUGGUUUCAGACUUCAUUCUUCUAGCUGAUUACGAGUGAAGACACAAUUAUUUGAGAGAUUAUUACUUGUGUAUUCUUCCUCUUUCCGAGCAACUCGCAUUUGCAGCCUCCGAUUUAUAUGCUUUAGAGAUUCAGAUCCACAAAUUUUCAUUUGGAAACUUGUUUGGCCAACAAUGUUUUCCAAGGUUAGCAUUUUUUUGAGGUUCACAUUUUUACUUCCUUCAAACUGGUUACAUAUUUUCUCGGACCAUCAUUCGGACCGAUUAGAGUUCUAGACCAAUUCACUUCGACCUUGAUUGACGAGUCAUUGGUAGGGAUGUCAACAGGGGCAAACGGGAGCGAAAAUAAGUGCCCCCGCUCCCGCCCCUGAAAUCAGUUGUUGCCCCCGCCCCCGGUUCCCCCGUUCACAUAGCCCCUGGUCCUGCCCCCGUUCCCCCGAUUCCCCGAUUUAAAAUUGGAUAUUUUUUGCUAAAAAACUGAUUUGUUUUUGGCAAACAAUCGGUGAGAAAUCAUGUAUAUGACUUAUCUAGCUAAAAAAUACAUGUAUGAUUGAAGUGAUGAAAAUUAUAAAAUUAAAAAUCAUGAAUUGAUCCAAAACUUCUAUUACAGUUCCAAGUAGUGAUAAAAAUACAUGUAUAUAAACAAACAUGUAAGCCUUUGAUAAACACAAUUGACUUCUAGAUUCUAUUACAGUUCUAAACUUCUAUUACACUUCUAGACUUGUAGUUUGUGAAAUUGAUAGCAGCAAGCAACAAAUUAAGACUGUGAAGUGUGAAUUGUCAAGACCGAAAUAUGUUCAGUGUUCACUGAAAUAAAGAGUGUGAAAUUGAUAGCAGCAAGCAAAAUUAAAUUAAGACUAUGAAUUGAAUCGGAGAAGGAAAGACAAAAUAAACCAUAAUUGAGAAAUUAAUAGCAGCAAGCAACCUCAAUCCACAAUAAUGUUUGAAAAAUCAAAAUCAACAACACUGAAUAAACCUUAAUUGAGAAAUUGAAAUCAGUCCAGUGGUAGAAUCGACUGUCAAUUGAAUCGGAGAAGGAAAGACAUAAACGCAAAUGGAGAAGGAAAAAAGAAAUAGAUUCAUCAUCCCACUCGAAUCGAUUCAAGAAGGCGAGAACCAACUAAUACCUUCUUCAGGUAUCUCAAUGGAAAUACCCAGAAAUGGUAUUCUCCGUAGAAAUAGUAUUCUUGCUUAUUUCGAUGAUCCUCAAUAUAUAAGAAAGAGCUCGGGACUUACUAAAUAUGAGACUCGAGAACUAAAUUCAAUCGUCAACGAAGAGAAUUUGAUUGAGUAUCGAGGAGUCAAGGUAUUUUGGCCAAAAUAUAAACAGAAAGGGGGAGAGAUUCCUGCUUGCCUACUUCGCGGAUCGAAGGGAGAAGACCUAUUAAAAAAAACAGACAAGAGAAGAGAUCAAGAUGACUACCAAAUUCAUACCAGAAUCCUUGAUUGUACUAGCUUAAAAUCAAGAAAACAAUGAGAGACAUUCAAUCCUAGAAUUAGCUCUAUCCCACCUCCAAUGAGAUGUUUUAAGCAUAUGGGUUAGUGGCAGUUGAAUGAAACUAGAAAGAGUGAGGGAUAUGGUUAUUUCUUCUCGUUCAGCUUCUCCAAUAUCCGUUGUUUUAGGACUUGAACUAGAUAGGGAAGUUUCCUUCUUUUCUGUUGAGGCUCAUUCCGGAGCAUCCCGCGCAUCUCUGUCAAGCCCUCCAACCUCUUAUUUCUUGGUAUAUGUUGUCUUUCCUCAAGGCUAAACCCAAAGGUAUCUAAGGGAAUCAAACCCAGCUUAUGAGUGGGGUCUUUGCCUGGAAAAAGGCUUUCACUAUAGAAAAUUCUCAAGUAGAUGUUCCCUGAAAUGGUUGCUCUUUCGAAAGCAAUGGUUGCUAGGAAUGGUUUUGCUGUCUAGCUCUUGCAAGCAAGGCGUGAAGCGAUUCUCUUGAGCUCUAACCGGCUAAACCCGCUUUGGUGGCCCGCCCUAUGUCUUGCCCACAGCUGGCUUCUUUGCUAGAUGAUAUCGAAUAGUACGACUAGAGUUCAAUCCCUCAGAAAGUCAUAGUACGACUACAGGGAAAGAGAUCUGAAAGUAGCCUUUUACCCCAUUAUUUGAUAGUGAAUGCAACCUAGCUCUCCCCAUUCAAUAGGCUAAGUCUAUCCCUUUGCUAUAAAGCUAAGACAGAACUCAGCUAGGACCGAAGAUAGGAUUGCCAACCGGAUGAAAACUGAAGAGAGCAUUGCCAGUUUCAUUCCAGUCUUUUCUCAAUUGAGAAGUCAACCAACAAGUCAAUCCUUCCCUUAUAUCAUAUCCAUUUUACACAGUCUUUGUUGAAAUAGUGUAAAUAGUGCGAGACUUUCAAUAACCGAAGGAGCCCUUUUCUAUUCCUUCGCCUUUCUUUCAUUCAAUUAGAAAGUUCCUUCUUUUUGUUACCCGGCUUUGGUGAGAUAGGAUCGGAAAAAGGUCUAACUCUCAUUACCGUGGAAUGCAGAAGGCCUCGGCGACGGUGACGGGAAGGAAGGAGGAAGCUGAAGUCUGAAACACUGAAUAAACCCUAAUAAACCUCACUGGUCGCCUACUCGCUUGUCAUUGGUCGCCUGCCUACUCGCCUGUCGCAGUCGGAGUACACUACAGUCUACAGGUCCUACCAUGUAUAAUCGUGUAUAAUGGGAAGGAAGGAAUCCUACAAGAAGGAAGGAGGAAGUUGAAGUCGUAACCUAGGCAUCAUUCGUAUUAUCGUGUAUAAUCGUAUUGUCAAUUGUGAUUUGUGAUUUGUGAAGGGGCUGACCGAGAAUGAGAAUGAACAAGACGAAAUAAGGAAAAUUAAAGCCCUAAUUUCCCAUUUGUAUUUUAAAUUAAAUAUAUAUAUAUUUUGUAUAAAUAUAAACGGGGCCCCCGCGGGAGUACGGGACGGAAAUACUCAUUCCAUAGAAAUUGUCAGCAUGAUAUCUAACAGAGGAUUGUACGAUCCCUUAUCUAAAGGACAAGAUUGAUUAGAUCAGAGUUUGACAGCGUCUUUGAGAGCUAUGAUUGCAAAUCGAAUUGUACUUGUGCAUAUAUUUACUAGACUUAUCCAAGUGGGAGACUGUUGGAAUAGUGUCUAAGGCUG